AGGACCAGCAAGAUGGUAAGGUGCCAUCAAGCCUGCAUACCUGGAACCAUCAUGGUUGAAAGAGAGAACGUGCCCCUGCAAGUUAUCUUUUGGACCCCAAAUGUGUGCCCUGGCAUGUGCAUGUACAGAGUGAGAGACAGAGAGACAGAGACAGAGACCCACACACACAUACACACAGAGAGAAGACAGACAGACAGACACAGAGACAGAACAAUUACAUAGAAGCUACAGUUGUUGGCACAGUCCUGUGAUUCCAGUGCUUAAGAGAUGGAGGCAGGAGGGUCAGGAGUUCAAAGUCACCCUUGGCUACACAGCAAGUUCAUAGCCAGCCUGGCCUAAAGAAAGCCAGGUAGUGUCAUGGUGCAUGACUGUAAUCCUGCACUUCAGAGGCUAAAGUAGGAGAAAAAAAUUGAGCCUGAGUUACAUAGCAAAAUCUCAGUCUCUGUCUCUCUCGUUCUCUCAUUCUCUCUCUCUCUCUCUCUCUCUCUCUCUCUCUCUCUCUCUCUCUCUCACACACACACACACACACACACACAGAGGAGGGGGCUAAGGAUAUAGUUUACCAGCAUGAGAAACUGAGCUCAAGUCCCCUGUGGUGUGUGUGCAUGCAUGUGUGUGUGGGAGAGAGAAAUAUAUCCACCACAAUGACUGGUUCAGUAUGCAAAUAAAGAGCCCUACAGGGAUGAAGAAAUGGCUCAGUCAUUAAAGCGCUUGCUGCACCAUGUAAUAGAGCAGGCCCACGGCUGUAAUCCCCACACUGGGAAGGCAGUUACAGGCCUGGGCUCACUGGCCAGCUCAUUUAGCCUACUCAGUAAGUUUUAGGCCAGUGAGGACAGUCUGAAGAAAACAGUGUGGACAGCUCCCAGACAACCAGUGCAGGAGGUUGUCCCCUCACCCACUUGUAUCUACACACACAUACAGCUGCACCCACACUACACAUGCACACCCACACAGCCACACCCACACUACACAUGCACACACAUACAGCUGCACCCACACUACACACACACACAUGCACACAGCCACACCCACACUACACAUGCACACACAUACAGCCAUACCCACACUACACACACGCACAUGCACACAGCCACACCCACACUACACAUGCACACACAUACAGCCGUACCCACACUACAUGUGUAAACACACACUACACCCACA
rnacentral:lncRNA from 1 species